CGAGUUCAAAAUAUAUAAAAUACCAAGGACGGUCGAUAGUGUGAUAGACUAUGCUGAUGAUCCCCGAGCUCGUAACGCGUCUCCAAAAUCUAUAAGAAUAGAUAGACAAAGAUAACCAAAGUAAGCUUUUAUAGCUUAGUAAGUCCAUAGCGUAUCUAAAAAUACAUAUAAAAGAAUCACAUAAUUAUUUACGUAAAUUUAUCGAAAUCACAAAUAUCAAAUAUAAUUACUAACCAAACAUUUCUAUAUUAAGUCAUUUCGUUUAAAUCUAAAAGAAUGUAUAUUUAACUAACAUACAUAAACGGACAAAGGUAUAUACAUUAUAUGCAUAAAAUCAAAUUACUAACAUAAUCAUUAACUGCAUAUACAAAUUUCUAGAGUACUUGUUGUUCGUACUUCAUCGGAUCCAUUUAUAUAUAUAAUUGUUCAAUUACAUAUACCAAAAGCAUAAUUUUUAUACUUAUAAACUAUAAAGGCCGAAUGCACAUAUUCACUAUUACCCACCUAUGCCGAAUGCAUACAUAUAUACACUUAUAUCUAUCUAUGCCGAAUGCAUACAAAUAUAUAUAUCCACCUAUGCCGAAUGCCUAAAUAUGCACACAUAAAUAUCCAACAAUUUUCAUGACAUCCGAGAUAUAUAUAUAUAUACUCACUAAUCACAAAGAUUCGAACAAUUAUAUACUCAUCAACAUCUUGAAACAAUGUUCAUACAUUCAUCCAUUUCAUAUAAAAUCAUAUCUAUAUUUAUACCAAAUGCUUAGAAUCACUUAAUUCAUCAUAUUCGGAUCACCGGCACUUAGCCUGCUAGGCUUAUAGCCUGAUUCAGAUCACUGGCACUUAGCCUGCUAGGCUUAUAGCCUGAUUCAGAUCACCGGCACGUAGCCUGCUAGGUUUAUAACCUGAUUCAUAUCACCGGCACUUAGCCUGCUAGGCUUAUAGCCUGAUUCAGAUCACCGGCACUUAGCCUGCUAGGUUUAUAACCUGAUUCAAUUCAUCAAUUCCAAACUUAAAAAUUCAAUGAUUCAACCGAAUACAUUUAUAUAUAUUUUUGAAUCUAUCAUAUACAUGUAUAAUUACGUACUCAUAAUCAAAGCAUGAAUUUAUAUUUGUAUACUCAUACAUAUUCGAAUCUAAUAUAUAUACAUCCAUAAUUUCAUUCCCAAAUCCAUAUAAGGUAUCAUACAUGUAUAUGCAAGCUUGUUCGAUCCACAUAUAUAUAUAUAUAUAUAUUACACACAUAUAUAUAUAUAUUCGCACAUUAUAUAAACACAACCAUAACAUUUGAACUUUUAAUUGGAUCCAAAAAUUUUUACUUUUAUUUACAUACCUAUUCGAACAUCACAUGUAUAUGUAUGAAAUUCACACAUCAACUAACAUAAAUUGUAUACUUGUAAUUAUAACUCAUUAAUUAUAAAAUAAAUAUACUUAUAUAUAUUGAUUUGAUAACAUGAAUUUUUGCUAACAGACUUACCUCGGAUAUCAGCGGACACGAUCGACUAUUCGAUUACUUUCGUUUUUCCCCGAUCCAAAUUCGUUUUCUUCGUUUCUUGAUCUAAACAUAAUCAAAUUUAACCUUUUUAUUCAUCAAAACAUUCAAUUAAGUUCAAAAAUACAUAAAUGGGAAAAUCACCAUUUUGCCCCUAACAUUUUACACUUUUUGCAAUUUAGUCCUUUUUGCACAAAACACAAAAUACACAAAAUUUGCCCAUACCACACAAGAGCCAAAUAUUCAUGGUUCUCAUACAAGUCCACACAUUGCAUUUAUUUCAUAUUUUAGUCCCUCAAAAAUUUAUUUUCACAAUUUAACUCUAAUUACUCAAAUUCGCUAAAAAUUCAAAGACAAAACAUGUUAAUCUAACACAUAUAUUUCAUAUUUCAUCAACUAACAUCACAAAACUCAAACAUUCAUCAAUGGCACAUUUCAAAGUCAUCAACAAUUCACAAAAUUAAUACAUGGGUUCUGAAGUAUUCGAAGCAACGAUCUCAAAAACGUAAAAAUUAUCAAAAACCGAACAAAGAACUAACCUUAAAUUUAAACACAACAAUGGCCGAACCUAGCUAGCUUUCUUCCUUUUUUUCUUUUGUUCAAAUUCG
rnacentral:lncRNA from 1 species